AUUUCCUGAGGCACCUUGUUCAAAUGCAGAUGAGGACUCAGCAGUUCUGGGUGGGCCCGAGAUUCUGCAUUUCUAAGAAGCUCCAGGGUGAUGCAUAUGCUGCUCAAGUAGCAACAAACCAGAGGCUUUCAUAUGGCAGCAUUUUACCUAGAGCUGACCCUGGUGUCAGAAGAAAGUUCUUCCUAGGGGAUUGCCUGAGUCUAAAAGAAGACAUCAAGCAUUAAGCUUAUACUACAAAGACCAGCCGUACAUUCCAAGUCGAAAAGGAACAGACUCUCUUAAGAGUGAUCUUCACAUCUUCUUGCCUGCUCCCUGCUGUCACUGACAGUAGAGAAGAGGAACAUUUAUCUAUGUGGAAGCAAAUGUUUCCGUAAUAAAGAAAUCUAAAGUAUAAGCACUUGGUUAAAAAUAGACUAACCGACAUUGAUUCCUUGAAAAAAAUUAUUCAGCAAUGUAUGUAACAGGCCAAGUUUAUAAUGGAUCACUUGGAAAGGAAACAAACACUCCUUGUUAGCUGACGGCUACAGCAUCAAACCCAGGAUAGGAAGACGAGAGAAUGGACAGCAUGGUACCAACCUCAUCCACCCCUUUUAUGAAGAGAACAAAUGUCUUUCCAGAAGCCCCAGCUUAUGUUGUAUAUGUCAGAAAAAUGUCAUAUGACUCUACUUGACUAUGGCUGAAAAGGGCAGAGGAAGGCACAGAAGGUCCACUGUUUAAGCAGACACCUAUCAGGGAAUGAGAUGCCCAUUUCACCUUCUAGCAAACAUCAGUCGCUGCAAGUAAGUCCCUUGCAGACCUCUCCCUCGGCUUAUUGGGAGGUGUGGACCCUCCUCCUGGAAGUGCAUGUGCCCUGGUACUCUGACUCAAGCCUUUAGCGUUCUCUCAGAUUCUCUGUACGGUCUCUUACAGAGGCUUGGAGAAGACAGGCAGUAAUGGUCACAGUAUCAGAUUUGUUACUUUUAAUGAGAACUCCAAGGAUGUUUUUAAGAUCGUUGUUCUCUUGCGAAUGAGGAGGUACUUAGUAUGUGUUAUUCUCGGUUUGGAGAUUUUGCGUCAGUUAUAAGACAAUGAAAGAGUCCCAUUUAACAUUUUGUUACUUUAGGAUCAAC
rnacentral:lncRNA from 1 species